GUCCUUUCUUUCUUUUUUGGGGUUGAUUUGAGGUAUAUACACAUGAAUAAAAGCAGGUGAAUAGGAUCCAGCAUCCUGCAGCAGGAGUUUGUGAACAGAAGUGUGUUUGUUCUCGGAGCAGCUCUCGGAUGAGAAAGGUAUGAGGGUCUGUGGGGAGAUAAGGAACGCUAACAAACAGGAGCAGAAGGAAAGACGUUGAUGGAUGGAGGCAGGAGGCCACAGACGGCAACGUGUUUACAUGACACACAGGUGUAACUGAUGGCCGGACAAACACAACAUGUUCAGGGCUUCUAGUCCAGAUGCUUUCUUUAGGGAGGUGAACCAGUCCUGUCAGCUUCCAUUAUACCUCAACACAGCCCGUCGGAGGCGCACACACGAUGCUGAGAGCGAUGCUUUUAUCUUCCCAAAAGCGUGCAGCUGAAGGAGCCAUUAAGACGGAGCUCAGUGGUCUAUCAGGUCGGAUAACACAAAGAUGUGGGGUGUAUACCUCCAGCAGCUGCAGCAGCAGCAAUCAACCUGCUCCCAUCAGCGACCUCCUGCAGGCUGUUCAGAGACGUUUCCAUUCAGCUGAGAACGGAAAACAAUAUGUAGGGCUUCACCACCAGGCAGAAACAUCCUCCUGUUUCUUUGAG